rnacentral:rRNA from 1 species
AACGAACGCUGGCGGCGUGCCUAACACAUGCAAGUCGCACGAUGUUUAGGGGGCAACUCCUGAACAUAGUGGCGCACGGGUGAGUAACACGUAGGUAACCUACCCUUCACUGGGGAAUAACCUGUCGAAAGACGGGCUAAUUCCGCAUACGUCCAAGCCUACUCUGGUAGAUUUGGGGAAAGGCGGCCCGCAAGGGCUGUCGGUGAGGGAUGGGCCUGCGUACCAUUAGCUAGUUGGUGGGGUAAUGGCCUACCAAGGCGACGAUGGUUAGCUGGUCUGAGAGGAUGAUCAGCCACACUGGAACUGACACACGGUCCAGACUCCUACGGGAGGCAGCAGUGGGGAAUAUUGCGCAAUGGGCGAAAGCCUGACGCAGCAACGCCGCGUGAGGGAUGAAGGUUCUCGGAUUGUAAACCUCUGUCGGGGGGGACAAAAAACUAUGCUGGCUAAUAUCCAGCGUAAUUGAUGGUACCCCCAAAGGAAGCACCGGCUAACUCCGUGCCAGCCGCCGCAGUAA